rnacentral:rRNA from 1 species
AUUAACGCUGGCGGCGUGCAUAACACAUGCAAGUCGAACGAUGAAACUUUUUUGAUUUCUUCGGAAUGAUUAAAAGUGGAUUAGUGGCGGACGGGUGAGUAACGCGUGAGUAACCUGCCUUAGAGAAGGGGAUAGCCUUUGGAAACGAAGAAUAAUACCCUAUGAAACCAUAACCUCGCAUGAGGAAUUGGUCAAAGAUUUAUCGCUCUAAGAUGGACUUGCGUCUGAUUAGUUAGUUGGUGGGGUAACGGCCCACCAAGACAGCGAUCAGUAGCCGGCUUGAGAGAGUGUACGGCCACAUUGGGACUGAGACACGGCCCAGACUCCUACGGGAGGCAGCAGUGGGGAAUUUUGCACAAUGGGGGAAACCCUGAUGCAGCGACGCCGCGUGAUUUAGAAGGCCUUCGGGUUGUAAAAAUCUUUUCUAUGGGAAGAAAAUGACAGUACCAUAGGAAUAAGGACCGGCUAAUUACGUG